rnacentral:lncRNA from 1 species
CAAGUUCCAUGUGCCAUAAUAAUUAUUGGAUCCCCCAUCGAUUCUCAUUUUAAUGAAAUUUAUUUAACACAUCUACUUUGGAAUGUUAUUACAUAUUGAUUGAAUUGGGAAAGCACAAUAUCCAUGUAACCGUUCAUUAUCAAGCUAAGCAAGUAAUAUAACUUUCAUCUAUCUGGCGAGACCAGAUAGGAAAAGAAGCUAUUCAAAGCAACUGAGAAUCCAAGGGCCCAUACCUCUAUACGGCUACACUCUGUCUAGCAUUAUGUUGCAGUGUUCUUGAUAUCACAAGUACAUAUGUAAUUAAAAUAGGGUGGUAUUCGAGAUUUCCAAACCAAGACCUCGUACUUCUCUUGUGGGAGAUCACAUCCACUUAGCAUAAGAUCUACAAAUGUUAUGUCUGGGACCUUGUUUAGUGUAGAACCACUUUGAUAAAUGUCACGUAGCAUAAAAUAUUUGGAUGGUUUGUGUUUGCUUAAGGUCCAUGUACAAUGAAGUUCAUCCUUGGCCUUGAGAUCAUCCGGGUGUUCUUCACCCAGUAAGGAGACAUUCUUUUGCAAGUACUCUCUUAACCAGGUGAGAAUCAAGGACCACCUUUUAGUGCUAAAAUUACCUUUUAGUAAAAUGGCAGAACCCACGUGCGGGUAAAUGAAAGACCCUGGCAUGUUAUAUGCUAUUUCCAUAGCUAGGGAUGUCAACUUCGGAAGUUGUCGUGGGUCUUCACUUCCAAACACAAGCAUCUUAAAGUAAUACCAAUAGGCUUCUGUAGGCAAACAUUUCAGCCGAAGAGCUUCUGUUGUCCCAAACCUCUCAAUCUUCUUUGAUCGACUGGUGAUGAUCAUUUUACUUCCCCGUGGAAUGCUUCUUGUAGAAGAGUACAAUCUCUUCCAUGUCUCGUCAUCCACAUCCUCCAAGAGCUCAAUGAUGAUCAGUAACCUCUCCUCCGAGGCACUAUCAUUCUGAUGCUUUAUCACACAAUUGUCUCUAAAACUUGGCAUCGUCUCAUCUUUAAGCUCAUUUCUACAGUAUGAUAAGAUCAAUGAGAAGUGGUUGCGCACUCUUUCUUCAAUGCAAACAUGCUCCACAAUGGUACUCUUUCCGAUCAGCGAUGGUCCAGUGAUCGGAAGCACACCUAGAUCUCCGCUGUUACUUGGAGGAUCCGUCUGCAGCAAGAAUUCCAUGAUCAUGUCCCUCUCCAUAUGGCGUCCAAACAUGCACCUCUCCACAAAGAAAUGAGCGCUGUAAGGUUGCCGGUGAAGAAUAGGAUAGCCCAUCAAGAAUACAACAAACUCCUUCAUGUCAUUGAUCAUGGCUUCCAAGCUGCAAACCAUCUGAUGCAACUCUCCAGGGCUUGCACCGCUCAACACUGCCCCUGUUGCUGAUGAACUAUUGGAGGAGAAGCGGACACGCUUCACCGUGUUUGACCUGGAUAGAGCGAGCGCAUCGCAGCUCACCUCCUCCUCCUCAUCGUCGUCACCACCAUCAUCAUUGCGCCUGUCUCCUCCUCCGGGGAGCGACCGACAGCCAACAACAUCGAGGACAUAGUAGCCUCUGAAUGCCUUGUCCCUCAGGGCCAUGACCUGCUGCAGCAUGGCCCGGCUAGCGACGUGCCGUCGCUCGGCCUCCUCGAGGAUCGUGUGGCUCCGCAGCAGUAGGCUGCGCAGCCGCUUCAGGUCCUCCUGGUCGGUCGCGGCUUGCCUCUCACACUUGGAGAGCAGGGAUGAUACGGUCCUCCUCACAAACUCACCGAUGACUGCGCUGGAGACAGAAUCCAUCGGGAACAGAAACCUAGUCUCUCUGGAGAUUGUGCAAGAAAUCAAACGGAGAAUCUCAAGAGAGAGCAGUAUGCUUGGUGUGCUGCCGAGUCGCGGCACUCGUCUUUGCGUUUACAAUCGCUGCUGGUAGCUGACGAAUCGAUGAUAAUUAUAAGCAAGGCUGCGCGAGACAAGCCAAAAGCAUUGAUCAAUCUGCGUGGUUGGAACGCUGAUGCCGACGGCAACGAACAAUGUCGACAAAAGUGCAUGUGAUACACUUGCUUUUGGACAGGAUGGUGCAUGUCGGCAUCACUAGCUAUCCUGAUAUUGACUAUAAACUUUGUUUGUAUUUUCUGUUUUAAGCUUUGCUGGACUAAAUCAUAGUAUUUUAGACACGGAAGUAAUCAUCUCUAUGAUGAUGUUCCUGUCUGAUUGAACUUUUCUUGCAAUCUGUAAUACAUGUUCCAAUAGCUUGUUUAUAAUUCUUCUUGCAAUGUAUUAUUUAGUGAACAAAAUAAGCAUACGUAGAUGCAUUAUCUUCCCAAAUCCAUGACCAAAGCAAGCAAUAUCCAAUGCAGUCAAAGUCACAUACAUUUAUUGGUCCAGUUCAGUGAAACUGAACUCAGAAGUAAAGAACAUGUUCGUAGAAUUUUUUUCUCUCCUCGCUUCAACUCCGAAACAUAUGCUUGAUUGCAAUGCUUCUAUAAUUCUACUGUGUGUACAUAGUUGCAGGGUGCAGUUCGAUUUGAGUAAUAUGAAAUGAAUAUGCCUCCACAUUUUUUUCAGAAAUUAUACCAAAAUUGUCGAUGAAUAAUACAUUAUUACCAUGGUUCACUACUAGAUACACAACACUCCUUGAGAGUUCUAUUUGAAGUGGCCAACGGGACCAUAGUGUUUAGCACUUUUUAUUAACCAUUCAGUAAUGGUGUUGUACUAUAUAAUGGAUCUUUCCCAAGCGUGAAGGUGCAUCCAUGACCAACAUUUACCUAGCAACAGUCACUAACAAAAUACUGCCAUUGGAAUAGAUAUUGCAGCAUUAUAGGUCAUUUGAUCGAGACGAGGCAGUGCGCAAGCAUGGGGGUGCACAGGGAUGAGAUGGAAAAUGGCUGCGUAGAGGCAAUACUCGAGUGGCUGGUCGUACCUAAUUUAGUAGGGGGCCUAUUUAGUUGCGCUCCUGGAGUUGCUCAGUGCUUUCUCUCCCCUUAGGACAUCUAUAGAAGGAUAGAAGGUAAUAGACAUAUAAAACUGGUGGAGGAUUGGACAUAUAAAAAUGAUUCUUGGAGGCCCAUCAACCAAAAUAUCACAAAGAUUAGGUCAAGAACAAAAGUACGAGUUUCAUGUGCUAUACAAUUGUUGGAUCCCCCAUUGAUUCUCAUUUGAAUGAAAUUUCUUGAACACGUCUACUUUUGAAUGUUAUUAUAUAUUGAUUGAAUUAGGAAAGCACAAAAAUCCAUGUCAUAGUUCAUUAUCAAGCUAAGCAAGGGAUUUCAUCUAUUUGGGGAGACCAGAUAAGAUAAUAAGUUAUAUUCAAAGCAACCAGUCCGCAUGCUAAGAAUCCAAGGGCCAAUAUAUACCUCUACACGGCCACACCCUGCCUUGCAUUAUUAUGCAGUGUUCUUGAUAUCACAUGUACAUAUGUAAUUAAAAUAGGGUGGUAUUCGAGAUUUCCAAACCAAGCCUCGAACUUCUCUUGUGGGUGAUCACAUCCACUUAGCAUAAGAUCUACAAAUGUUAUGUCUGGGAUUUUGUCUAGUGUAGAACCACUUUGAUAAAUGUCACGUAGCAUAAAAUAUUUGGAUGGUUUGUGUUUGCUUAUGGUCCAUGUACAAUGAAGUUGAUCCUUGGCCAUGAGAUCAUCCGGGUGUUCUUCACCCAGUAAAGGAGACAUUCUUUUGCAAGCACUCUCUUAACCAGGUGAGAAUCAAGGACCACCUUUUAGUGCUAAAAUUACCUUUUAGUAAAAUGGCAGAACCCACGUGCGGGUAAAUGAAAGACCCUGGCAUGUUAUAUGCUAUUUCCAUAGCUAGGGAUGUCAACUUCGGAAGUUGUACUGUCGUGGGUCUUCACUUCCAAACACAAGCAUCUUAAAGUAAUACCCAUAUGCUUCUGUAGGCAAACAUUUCAGCCUAAGAGCUUCUGUUGUCCCAAACCUCUCAAUCUUCUUUGAUCGACUGGUGAUGAUCAUUUUACUUCCCCGUGGAAUGCUUCUUGUAGAAGAGUACAAUCUCUUCCAUGUCUCGUCAUCCACAUCCUCCAAGAGCUCAAUGAUGAUCAGUAACCUCUCCUCCGAGGCACUAUCAUUCUGAUGCGCUUUAUCACACAAUUGUCUCUAAAACUUGGCAUCGUCUCAUCUUUAAGCUCAUUUCUACAGUAUGAUAAGAUCAAUGAGAAGUGGUUGCGCAUUCUUUCUUCAAUGCAAACAUGCUCCACAAUGGU